GGAGGGCUAGACCUAACUGGUAAGGCAACGGUCUUGAAAACCGUCGGGCGCAAGCCCUUGGGGGUUCGAAUCCCCCGCCCUCCG
rnacentral:tRNA from 1 species